rnacentral:rRNA from 1 species
UACGUAGGGUGCAAGCGUUGUCCGGAAUUAUUGGGCGUAAAGCGCUCGUAGGCGGCCUGUCGAGUCUGGUGUGAAAAUCCAGGGCUUAACCCUGGACCUGCAUCGGGUACGGGCAGACUAGAGUGCGGUAGGGGAGAUCGGAAUUCCAGGUGUAGCGGUGAAAUGCGUAGAUAUCUGGAGGAACACCGGUGGCGAAGGCGGCAUCCUGGACCGAUACUGACGCUGAGGAGCGGAAGCCAGGGGAGCAAACGGG